CUGUGUGUUGUUGGGUAGGGGAGCGUUCUGUAAGCCUGCGAAGGUGUGCUGUGAGGCAUGCUGGAGGUAUCAGAAGUGCGAAUGCUGACAUAAGUAACGAUAAAGCGGGUGAAAAGCCCGCUCGCCGGAAGACCAAGGGUUCCUGUCCAACGUUAAUCGGGGCAGGGUGAGUCGACCCCUAAGGCGAGGCCGAAAGGCGUAGUCGAUGGGAAACAGGUUAAUAUUCCUGUACUUGGUGUUACUGCGAAGGGGGGACGGAGAAGGCUAUGUUGGCCGGGCGACGGUUGUCCCGGUUUAAGCGUGUAGGCUGGUUUUCCAGGCAAAUCCGGAAAACCAAGGCUGAGGCGUGAUGACGAGGCACUACGGUGCUGAAGCGACAAAUGCCCUGCUUCCAGGAAAAGCCUCUAAGCAUCAGGUAACAUCAAAUCGUACCCCAAACCGACACAGGUGGUCAGGUAGAGAAUACCAAGGCGCUUGAGAGAACUCGGGUGAAGGAACUAGGCAAAAUGGUGCCGUAACUUCGGGAGAAGGCACGCUGAUAUGUAGGUGAAGCGACUUGCUCGUGGAGCUGAAAUCAGUCGAAGAUACCAGCUGGCUGCAACUGUUUAUUAAAAACACAGCACUGUGCAAACACGAAAGUGGACGUAUACGGUGUGACGCCUGCCCGGUGCCGGAAGGUUAAUUGAUGGGGUUAGCGGCAACGCGAAGCUCUUGAUCGAAGCCCCGGUAAACGGCGGCCGUAACUAUAACGGUCCUAAGGUAGCGAAAUUCCUUGUCGGGUAAGUUCCGACCUGCACGAAUGGCGUAAUGAUGGCCAGGCUGUCUCCACCCGAGACUCAGUGAAAUUGAACUCGCUGUGAAGAUGCAGUGUACCCGCGGCAAGACGGAAAGACCCCGUGAACCUUUACUAUAGCUUGACACUGAACAUUGAGCCUUGAUGUGUAGGAUAGGUGGGAGGCUUUGAAGUGUGGACGCCAGUCUGCAUGGAGCCGACCUUGAAAUACCACCCUUUAAUGUUUGAUGUUCUAACGUUGGCCCCUAAUCGGGGUUGCGGACAGUGUCUGGUGGGUAGUUUGACUGGGGCGGUCUCCUCCUAAAGAGUAACGGAGGAGCACGAAGGUUGGCUAAUCCUGGUCGGACAUCAGGAGGUUAGUGCAAUGGCAUAAGCCAGCUUGACUGCGAGCGUGACGGCGCGAGCAGGUGCGAAAGCAGGUCAUAGUGAUCCGGUGGUUCUGAAUGGAAGGGCCAUCGCUCAACGGAUAAAAGGUACUCCGGGGAUAACAGGCUGAUACCGCCCAAGAGUUCAUAUCGACGGCGGUGUUUGGCACCUCGAUGUCGGCUCAUCACAUCCUGGGGCUGAAGUAGGUCCCAAGGGUAUGGCUGUUCGCCAUUUAAAGUGGUACGCGAGCUGGGUUUAGAACGUCGUGAGACAGUUCGGUCCCUAUCUGCCGUGGGCGCUGGAGAACUGAGGGGGGCUGCUCCUAGUACGAGAGGACCGGAGUGGACGCAUCACUGGUGUUCGGGUUGUCAUGCCAAUGGCACUGCCCGGUAGCUAAAUGCGGAAGAGAUAAGUGCUGAAAGCAUCUAAGCACGAAACUUGCCCCGAGAUGAGUUCUCCCUGAGACUUAGAGUCUCCUGAAGGAACGUUGAAGACGACGACGUUGAUAGGCCGGGUGUGUAAGCGCAGCGAUGCGUUGAGCUAACCGGUACUAAUGAACCGUGAGGCUUAACCUU
rnacentral:rRNA from 1 species